UGCCGCACGGGCCGUGCUGCUGUGCCAAAUCUCUAGGCCCGUGACAUAGGGCUGUGAAAACAGCGAUGAGAGAGACUCAGGCAGAAGCGGGAAAGGGGAAGAGAGAGAAGCAAUCGGUGGCGGAGCUUCCGGAGAAUUUGAUCGAUGACAUUCUCAUCCGACUAUCAAUCGAAGAUCUGUUACGUUUCAAGUGCGUUUCCAAAUGAUUGUAUAUCCCAAUCGACUCACCUAUCUGUUGGAGCUACUUGCAUAAUCAAUCGGAUGCUUUGAUAUCAGUUGUUGUGACAAGAACGCAAAAAUAACGUCGUUCGAGGAAUAAUCACAAGCAAUCACGAAUAAUAAAAAUGACACACAAAAACUUCGUCUUCACUAUUGAGGUGGACAAGUCCUCUUUAAUUAUAAAAAAUAAAUUAAAAAAAUUAAAGAAUACUGGUAAGUACGUUUUCCUAUCAUUUUUUAUUUGGUAAUUAAAAAUAGAAACAUGAUAGGGCCGAAUGAUUUUCUCAAAUAAGUCUUGAGUACACAUCAUCUGCCUAAAACAAAGAUUUUUGUUUAAUGAAAUUUAUGAAUCGAAAAUCCUUUAAAUUCAAAAAUUAUAAAAAAACACAUCAAAAAAUUAGAAAAUACAAAAUAAAAGUAAUAAAAAAAACAAUUGGAGAGUUUUACUCAUUCCUAUUGAGGAUAUUUGAAUAUUCAAAAGUCAGGGCACGAGUAGUUCGGGGAAAAAAAUUGAAUCAAAUACAAUUUUUUUACACAAUUAUGUGUUUUCAGUUUUUUAAGAAUAAAAAAUUAUUUUCAUCAUUAUUAACCAAGCUCUUAAUUUUUCUUUGUUGUUGUCCGAUUGAAUUAUUAAAGAUAAAGACUUAUUGAGAGGGGGGUUUUAGAGAGGAAAAAAAAAAAACCCAAAUUGCAGUGCUCAACCAGCAGAGCUUAGGGUUUGUGAUGCUCGCGAGCUUUUUCCUGCCUUUUGAAUCUCCAAUCUCCUACUCUUCUUUUAACCAUUUCCAAGUUUCAUCACUUUCUCUCUCUCUAGAUCAGAUUUUGUCUUUUCUCUCUCACAUGCAAACAUUUAGUGUUCGUUUAAUAGCAGCGAUGGGAAAAAGACAGAGGCGGAAGCGAUCGGCAAAGCGGAAGAGAGAGAAGCAAUCGGUGACGGAGCUUCCGGAGGAAGUGAUCGACUACAUUCUCACCCGACUACCGGUGAAAGAUCUGCUACGUUUCAGGUGCGUUUCGAAACGAUGGUGUGCCCUAAUUGACUCACCCAUGUUCAUAAAAUUGCAUCUCAACCAAUCACUUCAAACUGGAACCUCCAAUUUGAGUUUGAUUCUGAAAAAUGGUACUAACUUAUAUUCAGUAGACAUAGAUAUGCUUGAUGUUGUCUUGAAGGCUGGUGGUGAUAGUGUCCCACGUUUAGACGUUGUACAAGUCCAUAACCCCUUCAAAUUUGAGGCCCGUUGGACUGAUGUAGACGGUUCGUGCAAUGGUUUGAUCCUUUUGUAUGGUAUAAAAGAUGAAGCCAUUGCAUUGUUAAAUCCUUCCACCAAUGCUUACAGAAUUUUACCUCCAUUGUCACGUGGCAAUGCCUCUAGCUACCCAUUUCAUGGACUAGUGUAUGAUCCUGUCGGCGAUGAUUACAAAAUAAUUAAGAUUAUGCAGUUCUAUGGUGAUAAUGAUUCCUUUUACCACAAAGUAAUGGUUUAUAGCUUAAGAUCAAAUAUGUGGAGGCGGAUUUGUGAGAGCUUCAGUUAUUACCUUUUCUUCAAUUGGAAAAGUUUAUCUUCUGGCGUGCUGGUCAAUGGUGCUUUGCAUUGGUUAGCUCGUCGUGAUCGGGUGGAUUUAUUUGACAUUGUUGUUGCUUUUGAUCCUGUGGAUGAGGAAUACCAGGAAGUGCAGGUGCCACAAGUUCCUAGUUGUAAUCACGGGAUCUUGGGGGUUGUAGGUAGACGUUUGUGUAUAUUUUAUAUUACUGAGGAAGAUCAUUCUGAAGCCGCUGUUGAAUUAUGGAUCAUGAAUGAUUAUAUGGUGGAGUCGUCAUGGACAAAACAGUGUACGGUAAUGGUGCCAAAGGAAAAGGCCAGUUACGUGGAUGAUAUCAUGGAGUGUUUGAAGGUUUUGGCUUCUUCCAAUAAUAUCCUGCUGUGGGCUUCUUCCAAUUGCGAUAGCUUGUUCCGUAUGUUUGGUAGAUUUAAUUGUUAUGACCUGAAAGAGAAAAGGGAUGUGAAUCUUGGCGGUUCAUCUGCUAAGGAAGUUAAUGUGAAGAGCCUUGUUAAGCUUAGUCAUUAUCAAUGAAUUGAAAUUCUAUAAUUGUUUGCUGCGAUUUAUGUGGAGGGGUCUUGUUUUCAGGGAGCUGUUAUGUUUCUAAGAAAGCAUGAUUCUAUUAUGGCGACCAUAAAGGAUUUCGGCAUUUGGGAGCACCGGAUGGGCGUUAAAUUGCCUUGAUUUCCUUGACACUAAGGGAAAUGCAAAAUCUUCACCUCAUUAACAUUUUGGGAGGAUCUUAUUCAAUAGCAAGCAUUCAGUGGAAAAGAAACGCUGCCACUAACCUGGUUCUGGUUCGGAAGAUUUGUCUCUCCUUUAUGGUUUACCAUACGUGGGAAGAACGGAAUAAAAGAAUCUUCAGAGUAAAGGAAUCCACUCAAAGAGUAGUCCUGAAGAAUGGAAUGAAAGAAUCUUCAGAGUAAAGGAAUCCACUCAAAGAGUAGUCCUGGCCAAGAUCAAUUACUCAAUCACCUCGAUUUUGAAAUUGGAAUUCCUCCGUAAUUGCAACUCAUCUAGAAGCAUCCUCAAUGAUUGGAAUCUUUCGCUCUCUUGUUGUCGUCCCCCUCCAAGACCGCCAGACUGAACUAAUUCCGGCCGCCACUCAUUUAGGGCUACCACCGGAAUGUUUGCUAACUUUCUCCAUUAACGGCUAAUUGUCCGUUAAUUGCAGUUAUUAGCUUGUUUUUGGGCUUUCGAUUUUUCCUUGUUUUGGGCCUAAAUUUUUGGGUUGCUUUGUCGCCUUCGUUGGGCUGUACUUGGCCAAAGGGCCCACACUGUAAUUGCCUUAAUAUUUAUUUCAGUUGCUUAAUUUUUUGAAAAAAAAAAACUUGUACAAAUCUACUUAAUAUAAGGUUAAUUCAUUAUUGGAAUGAGAAAGAGGGACGAGAAAGGAUAUUUUCCUACAAAAAA